UACGAAUCGUGCGAACGUUGUUCGGAAUCACUGGGCUUAAAGGGCGCGUAGGCGGGUGCUCAAGUCCGGGGUGAAAGCCCACAGCUCAACUGUGGAAUGGCCUCGGAUACUGGGCACCUCGAGGGAGGUAGGGGCGUGUGGAACGUUUUGGUGGAGCGGUGAAAUGCGUUGAUAUCAAACGGAACUCCGGUGGCGAAGGCGACACGCUGGGCCUCUUCUGACGCUGAGGAGCGAAAGCGUGGGUAGCAAACAGG
rnacentral:rRNA from 1 species